GACGAACGUUGGCGGCGUGCUUAAUACAUGCAAGUCCACUGAAGCAGCGGUAACAAUUUCGCUGUGGAGGUGGCGCACGGGUGACUAACACGUAGGUAAUCUGCCUUUAGGUCUGGCAUAACUCCGGCAAACCGGGGCUAAUAGCAGAUGAUGCAACGGCUCGACAUUGAGACCGUUGUUAAAGCUAUGCCUCCUGAAUAUGAUCCUGCGUCUGGUUAGCUGGUUGGCGGGGUAACGGCCCACCAAGGCAACGAUCAGUAGUUGGUCUGAGAGGAUGAUCAGGCACAGUGGAACUGAGACAAGGUCCAGACUAGGAAGGGAGGGAGCAGUUAGGAAUAAGGGUGAAUGGGAGAAAUCGUCAAGCAGCAACGACGCAUGAGGGACGAAGGUCUUUAGGUUGUAAAGCUGUGUAAGGAAAGAAAAAAGUCCCAAUCUUUGGGACAUGAUGGUACCUAAAGAGUAAGCCCCGGCUAACUACGUG
rnacentral:rRNA from 1 species